rnacentral:misc_RNA from 1 species
CGAGCAAACUCACCGUGAAAAGUUGUCACCGGUCGUCGUGAAGGCGCGCGCGCGUUUGGGUCGCCAUUUUCUUUUUUUUUUUGGGAAAAGUAUUAAGUCGCUUUUUUGGCGUGAAAAUUUGUGUUUUUUAGUGCGAAAAUGUGAAAUUUGUGCGAUCUAGUGUCUGUUGAUGGGGCAAGUGGUGAAAAAGUGCGUGAAAACGACCCCAAAAUUGGUGGAAAAGCGAUUUGAAAAUCAUCUCAAGUGUCUCGAAGAAAAAAGUCAAGUGUGUUCGGUGCGCUUGCUUGAAAGUGAAAAUUUGCUUGCAAGCUCAACGCCAGCGUCCGUGGUUUGACAACAACAACAUAGCCUACUGGCCCACAUUGCGUCAGUGUCAUUGUGUCAACCAACUCCAGAAGAAAAAGAAGAAGGAGGCCAACUACGAUCGAGUGUUGAAAUCAACCAAAAAUAGUGUUACAUAACCUCAAAUAAAAAAAAAAGCCGUGCCAUCUUUUGGAGCUGUCAUGAAAAUUGUGCGUUUUUUCUCUUGAUUGUUGUUGUUGUUGUCAGUGAAGUGGUGAGCAACAGCCGGCUCACUGUCAGAAAGAUGAAUAAGAGGAAGAAGUCUGCGGUGGUGGCGCUGGUGGCGCUAGUGUUGAGCGCACACUUUGGCGCGUUUCCCGCGUACAACAGCGAUGCCGACGAAACGGUCGAGCACAUCAAAAUUGGCGGCCUGUUUGACAGCGACACUGAUGACGUUUCACUCGCCUUCCAGUACGCGGUCGAGGCCGUCAACAACGAGAAGCUGUCCUACUCCAAUUACCGGCUGGAAGCGGUACCGGUGACGGUCAAGUACGGCGACCAGUUCGACGUGUCCAAGAAGCUGUGCAAGGUGCUGCGGUCCGGCGUCGCCGCCAUCUUCGGGCCCAACUCGCCGAAAGCGGCGGUCCACGUGCAGAGCAUCUGCGACGAGAAGGAAAUGCCCCACAUCGAAACGCGCUGGGACGCCUACACGCGCCUUCCCACCAUCAACAUCCAUCCCCAUCCGCACAUUCUGGGCCGGGUGUUCCUGGACCUGGUGGUCGCCUUCGAGUGGAAGGACUUUACCAUCAUUUACGAGUCCGGUCCGUGGCUGCCGGGAAUCUCCGACCUGCUCAAGAUGUACGACCCGAAGGGCUACACCGUGACGGUGCGCCAGCUGGACCUGAAGCUGAACGGGAACUACCGGGCGGUUCUGCGGCGGGUCAAGCAGUCCGACGACAAGCACAUCAUACUGGCCGCUUCGGUCGACUCGAUGCCGGAGAUUUUGAAGCAGGCCCAGCAGGUCGGCCUGAUGACGGACUACCAUCAGUUUAUCAUCACGUCGAUGGAUUUGCACACGAUCGAUCUGGAGCCGUACCAGUACAGCGGGACGAACAUCACCGGCAUUCGGCUGGUCGAUCCGGACGAGGAGAAGAUUCAUCAGGUCACAGAAUUCCUGAACGCCUCCCAGAUCUCCAAAACCCUGGAACUGAACCAGGGCCUGAACCCGGCCACGAUGCGCGUCGAGACGGCCCUCAUGUACGACGCGGUCCUGCUGUUCGCGGAAGCCCUGCGCCACCUGAUCGGCAUCGAUCCCCCGCACCCGCUGGAACCGAUCGCGCUCAAGUGCGAGGACGACAACACCUGGAAGAACGGGUACAGCAUCAUCAACUACAUGAAGGCGUCCACGAUCCACGGGCUAACGCGGGGGGUGAAGUUCGACCACGAGGGGCACCGGUCGGACUUUCUGCUGGACAUUGUCGAGCUGGGCCCGGCCGGGCUGGAGAAGGUCGGGGUGUGGAACUCGACCGAGGGGCUUAAUUUUACGCGCAAGAAGGAACUGACGGCGCUGGCGCUGGACGACGGAACGCUGCAGAAUCGUACGUUCAUCGUGUUGACGGCGAUUUCGCCCCCGUACGGGAUGUUGAAGGACUCGCCGACCAAGCUGACGGGGAACGAUCGGUUCGAGGGCUUUGGGGUUGAUUUGAUCCACGAGCUGUCGCUGAUGCUGGGCUUCAACUAUACCUUUGUGCUGCAGGAGGACGGCGUGUACGGGUCGCUGAACCGGGAGACCGGCAAGUGGAACGGAAUGGUAAACGAGCUGCUGGAGUGGCGGGCGGACCUGGCGAUUACGGAUCUGACCAUCACGUCGGACCGGGAGAGCGCGGUGGACUUUACGAUGCCGUUCAUGAACUUGGGAAUUUCGAUCCUGUUCCGGAAGCCCACCAAGGAACCGCCGUCGCUGUUCUCCUUCAUGUCCCCGUUCUCGAAGCAGGUCUGGCUGUAUCUGGGCGGUGCCUACAUGAUGGUGUCGAUGUCCCUGUUCAUCCUGGGUCGGCUCUCGCCGAAGGAGUGGGACAACCCGUACCCGUGCAUCGAAGAACCGGAAGAGCUGGAGAACCAGUUCAGCUUCAGCAACUCCAUGUGGUUCACGAUCGGUGCCCUGCUGCAGCAGGGCUCGGAAAUCGCCCCCAAGUCCUCCUCGACGCGCGCCGUCGCGUCCAUCUGGUGGUUCUUCACGCUGAUCAUGGUGUCGUCCUACACCGCCAACCUGGCGGCGUUCUUGACGGUCGAGCAGGUCCACUCGCCGAUCAGCAACGCCGAGGACCUGGCGGCGGCCGGCGGCACCGUCAAGUACGGCGCCAAGCGGGACGGCAGCACGAUCAGCUUCUUCAAGGACGCCGAGUACAAGACGUACCAGCGGAUGUACGAGUACAUGAUGCAGAACCCGGAGCUGCUGACGUCGUCCAACCCGGAGGGGCUGAACCGGGCCAAGACGGAGAACUACGCCUUCCUGAUGGAGUCGUCCUCGAUCGAGUACAUCGUGGAGCGGGAGUGCGACGUGACGCAGAUUGGCGGCCUGCUGGACGACAAGGGCUACGGGAUUGCGAUGCGGAAGAAUUCACCGUACCGAAGCGCACUGAGUGAAGCGGUUCUGCGACUGCAGGAGCAAGGUGUGUUGACUUCGCUGAAGCGCAAAUGGUGGAAGGAGAAGCGCGGUGGCGGCGCCUGUUCGGGAACCACGGAGGAGGGCGGCGCCCUGGCCCUGGAGGUGGCCAACGUGGGCGGUGUCUUUGUGCUGCUGAUCGUGGGCUGCGUCGUGGCGUUGUUCAUAAGCUUCUGCGAGAUGAUGUGCGACGUGCACAGCCGCUCGCGAGAGCUCAAGCAAGGUUCGGCGGACGACGGCGCCGAGGAGCUCGGCAUGGACAACGUCGGCGGUGUUUUCUUCGUACUCUGCGUCGGAUGUUCCUUCGCCAGUGUCAUCGGCUGUUGCGAGCUGCUGUGCGUGAUCAUGCAGCGGGCUCGACAGCACAAGGUAAUUGUUGCCGCCACGCCACGCCACUGUCACUACCUGCUCUAGUCGGUUGUACUAACACCCCCACUAACCUGCAUCCCUGCCUAACCUUAAAACUCAUCUGCUUAGCCGCGCCCACCCCACCCAACACAGGUCCCGUUCCGCGAGGAGCUCGCCGCCGAGCUGCGCUUCGUGGCCAAGUGCUCCGGCAACACGAAACCGGUCCGCCACCGGAAGAGCUCGUCCGGGUCGCGCAACUCGCUCGAGUCGGGCCUGUCGGU